UAUGAAGGGUGCAAACGUUGCUCGGAAUUAUUGGGCGUAAAGCGCACGUAGGCGGCUUGGCAAGUCGGAUGUGAAAUCCCUCGGCUCAACCAAGGAAGUGCAUCCGAAACUGCCGAGCUUGAGUACUUAAGAGGAUCGCGGAAUUCCCGGUGUAGAGGUGAAAUUCGUAGAUAUCGAGAGGAACACCAGUGGCGAAGGCGAGUCCCUGGACAACACCUGACACUGAGGCACGAAAGCUAGGGGAGCAAACAGG
rnacentral:rRNA from 1 species